UACGUAGGGGGCGAGCGUUGUCCGGAUUUAUUGGGCGUAAAGAGCGUGUAGGCGGUUCGGUAAGUCUGUCGUGAAAUCCUGAGGCUCAACCUCGGGCGUGCGAUGGAUACUGCCGGGCUAGAGGAUGGUAGAGGCGAGUGGAAUUCCCGGUGUAGCGGUGAAAUGCGUAGAUAUCAAGAGGAACACCUGAGGUGAAGACGGGUUGCUGGGCUGACACUGACGCUGAGGCGCGAAAGCUAGGGUAGCAAACGGG
rnacentral:rRNA from 1 species